CUGCAUUAUUGUAGAGCGCUUAGAGACAUCUGACAAAGUAAGUGUUAGGCGCUAUAUAAGCACUG